rnacentral:lncRNA from 1 species
GUUCUAUUUUUUCAUUUAUUUGGCGUGAAUUCAGUGUCACCAACCUGUGUCCAUUUGGCGGGAAGUGGAAGUAGAGCUUUUUGUUUAUUAUUAUUUGUUGAGGUUGAGUCGUUCAUGUUAUGACAACCUAAAAAUUUUGAUUGGAAAAUGCAUAUAAGAUAAGGGGGUGGGAAAAUGGAAAUUAGUGGCUUUUUUUGCAGUUCUGUCUGUUAGUUUUGCGUUUUGCUCUGGCUGGGUCUCUUUUGUUUAAACAAUUAUAAUCAGCUGAAAGUGGUCUACAAAAAAACUAGGAAGGAAACGUAUUAUAGCCUUGUUGUGGCUAUGAAAGGCAAAAGAAAGAUACCUAUAAAAAGUGUAUUGACUAGUUGGAAGAAACUCCACAUUGUCGAUGCAUAAUAAGAUAUUACUUUAUAAACAAAUAUUAAGACCUAGGAAUGGAACCUGGAUAAUAUAAUCAUCAAGAAGAUAGCAUGAAGUCAUGACUUCAUAAGUAUGAGAAUAUUGAGAAAAUCCAGCUCAUCGAUAUCUACUACUGGACAAACUAGAAGAUUGAAGAGGACAAAGCCUUUUGAACUAGUUUGAGUGAUAGGUGAUAGUGAAAAGCAGAGCGUAGUGCUUGUGUGCCUGUGUAUGUUAGAAUAGUGCACAAUCUUGUUAGAUUAGAUAAGAGACGCUAUGGGGUAAGCUCUUCAUUUUAAUGAACAGUAGUAAUUUAGGUUAAAUUAAAAUUGCUCAUUGGUCAGUUAUGACCAGAUUGUAAUUCUCUGAUGUUUGGCAAAAAGGGCUUAAGUCAGAAUUGCACAUCAAUAAUGUUUUGAUGAUUUCUCGACCAGAAAAAAAGUGUUGCAGACUUAAACUGUAUGUACCAAUAAAAAGAGCCAAUUUUUCUGGUCCAGAAAUCAUCAAAACAUUAUCGAUGUGCAAUUCUGACUUAAGCCCUUUUUCCCAAACAUCAGAGAAUUGCAAUGUACAAUUCAAUACAAAUGAAUCAUCAUCGUAGUGAUGAUUAUGGAAAAAAAUAUAUGACAAGAUUUUGUGCAAUAAAAAUGUUUAUAUUUA